UUGCUUUGGCAGCACAUAUGAAAAAAUUAGAAUGAUUCAGAGAAGAUAAAAUAUGGUUCCAGCACAAGAAUGAUACACAAAUUUAUGAAGCAUAUCAUAUUUUU
ensembl:snRNA U6 U6 spliceosomal RNA